rnacentral:pre_miRNA from 1 species
UAAACCACACAGUUUCAUAGUAACAGAGGUGGGUAACGACUGACGGGAACAUCCCGUAUAGUGAUUAAUGUUCUCUUUGGUUGUUACCACUAGAAUACCAUACACGGUGA